AAGUUUUUGGGUUCACCUCUAUUUAAAGGCUCUAUUGGGGCAAUAGUCCAUACCCAAAUUUUUGAUGCUAGGGUUUUGUCAAUUUGUUGUCACAGCCGCCGCCAUUAUCACCACCAUCAGAAGGUGAAAAUUCGCCGCCGUCAUCAUCACCACCGCUGCUAUCAGAAAGGUGAAAAGGAAAGUGAAUCGGAAUACUCGAGCAAAUCAGAUUAUGAGCCAUUGGUGAAGAAGCAAAAGGUGAAUGAGGAGGAAGAUGCAGAAGAAGAAUAAUCGAGCGAUUUCAAAACUUCGGAUCAAUUACCUCUAACGGAUGGAAGCGACAUCGACGGUGACGAUUCGAUUGCCGACAAAGAAGUAGGGUAUUUUUGGAAGCCCAGAGAUUUUGAGCGCUGGAACAAGUAUAUGGAUCAGAUCGAGGAGAGCGAGGGAAUACUCAAGAUAGCUGAUUACAGAAAUUUAACAUGGCCAGGGUGAGUAAAAAGACUAUAGUAGAACGCAUCAAACAACAACCUGUCACGCGUACUAUUUAUGUCUCUCCUGUUUUAACAACCUGUGCUAUAAGGGAUUUGCAAAAAUCAGUUAAAGCAAUGAGCUUCAUUAACAAGUGUUUAUAUCUAGAACCUUUAUUU